rnacentral:rRNA from 1 species
GACGAACGCUGGCGGCGUGCUAAACACAUGCGAGUCGAACGCUGAAGCUUGGUGCUUGCCCUGGGUGGAUGAGUGGCGAACGGGUGAGUAAUACGUGAGUAACCUGCCCUUGACUCUGGGAUAAGCCUGGGAAACUGGGUCUAAUACUGGAUACGACAUGCCACUGCAUGGUGGUGUGUGGAAAGGGUUUUACUGGUUUUGGAUGGGCUCACGGCCUAUCAGCUUGUUGGUGGGGUAAUGGCCUACCAAGGCGACGACGGGUAGCCGGCCUGAGAGGGUGACCGGCCACACUGGGACUGAGACACGGCCCAGACUCCUACGGGAGGCAGCAGUGGGGAAUAUUGCACAAUGGGCGGAAGCCUGAUGCAGCGACGCCGCGUGAGGGAUGACGGCCUUCGGGUUGUAAACCUCUUUCAGCACGGAAGAAGCGAGAGUGACGGUACGUGCAGAAGAAGCGCCGGCUAACUACGUG